UGGGGAAUCUUCCGCAAUGGGCGAAAGCCUGACGGAGCAACGCCGCGUGAGUGAAGAAGGCCUUCGGUCGUAAAGCUCUGUUGUCGGGGACGAAUGUAGCGCUUAUCAACAACGAGUGCUAAUGACGGUACCUGACGAGGAAGCCACGGCUAACUACGUGCCAGCAGCCGCGGUAAUACGUAGGUGGCGAGCGUUGUCCGGAAUUAUUGGGCGUAAAGGGAGCGCAGGCGGGAGGCCAAGUCCAUCCUAAAAGUUCGGGGCUCAACCCCGUGAGGGGAUGGAAACUGGUCUUCUUGAGUGCAGGAGAGGAAAGCGGAAUUCCUAGUGUAG
rnacentral:rRNA from 1 species